GGCACGAUGGACUCAUGUACAAACUUAAAAAGUUCUUACCCGCCCCUCUUUUCCUCUUGAUAAAAUCAUAUCUGUCAAAUCGUUUCUUUACUGUUCGCCUAAACAACACCUACACAACCCGUUACACUAUUAGAGCUGGAGUCCCACAAGGAAGCGACAUCGCCCCAUUCCUUUACUCGAUUUUCACUCAUGACAUACCCAAGACAUUUUAUACAUCCUUAGGCACAUACGCCGAUGACACGCUAAUAACCGCCUCCCACGAAAGCCACGUCACAGCCAAUGAAAUGAUC